GGGAAGGUUUGGGUCCCGGUGGGUUCCCUGGUCUUCAAAACCAGUGUGGGGCUGUGAAAACGUCCCGGGUGGGUUCGACUCCCACACCUUCCCGCCA
rnacentral:tRNA from 1 species